CACAGCAGCAGCACAGAAAAAGGUGGAUCCAGGAAACUAAAAAUGUUCAUGAUGGGCAAGAAUACAUCUGAAAACAUGAAAGAUCUUUGAGGACCUCCAAUGUUUUAUGAAUCAUAGUUAAGAAACACUGUUCUCACCUAAUAUUACGAGAAUGUCCUCCCCUCUCAAGACUUUGGUAAAUUUUGUUCCCCUCUCCAGUCUAACUGAGAGUUGCAAGGUCAUUAAAUGAGGACUUCAAUUAAUCACAACUUUCAACUUCCUGCCAGAUUCUCCAUUGAGUUUGCCUGUGGGAAGCAAGCAGGGAAGAGCUGCUGGGAUUCAAGAUUUCUCUACAGAUGGAAAUGCAGUAUAAAUGUCCAAGGAGAAAGAAGACCCAUCUGGCAACUGGGAGAAAGAAUAACCUGCUAGGUUCAAGCCAAUGAUGUAGUUCCAUUUGCAAAGAGCUUGCAGAGAUCCUCAGAUAUACAGCCAUCUUUUUAAACAUUAAAAAAAUUACUACCAUCAAAACUGCAUCCACAUUUUGACUAACAAAGGCAACAUGCCACUUUUAUAUAAAAAGAAAGACAGGAACAAAGACAUCCAUAAUAAGGUGAAAGAUGUCAAAAUGACUACACAGAUUGUCAUCCAUGUUGCCCUCUUUAUCUGUCUCCAUCAUGGAUCCAUGGAUAGGGAUAUGGAAAGGAAAAGGAAAAGAGAGACACAUAAAUGCACGCAUAACUUGCAGACCAAACCAUUUCCCCCUUGAAGUAAAGGCUGUCUUACGACCCCCAUUAUAUGCAGAAAGAAUAUUAGCAAUUGAUUAGGUUUAGUAUCAAUGCUUGAAUAAACACAAUGGAAAAUA